rnacentral:lncRNA from 1 species
AUCAUGAACGGGGAGGAAUGUCCGGGGUGCAAAUAGAACGCGUGUCUCAUUUCAGAAGAAAUGAGGCGACGUUGCGGUGGCCCAGGCGGUCGGCCCGGUGGAGGUCCUGGAGGACGGCUGGGGGAUCCGGCAGUGGAGGUCCGGAGGUGGCUCGUGAUUAGACCAACCAGCUCCUCAUCCAUGGAAGGAUUGAAGGAGUCACUUGGGAUGAAGAUCACUGCUCAGGGGCUGACGACCACUCAUCUUUCCGGAGAAGCGUCCUCAUGGUGCAGGCGGUCAAACCUCCACCUCUUUGAAGAGACCAAACAGCUUGAUGACUGACUGGUUCGUUAUACUCAAGACCUCGUCCCGGAGCAGAGGACGGACCUAAGGCCCGCAGCGCAGCCGACUUGAGACUCCAUGUGGAACCGGUAAGAUACUGGAUUGACCAUCUUGAAGACAUUUUCAUUUAUUCAACAAGGUUAGUUUUGUUUGUCGGGUAUGUUGCUUUGAUACUAGGGGCUUCUUCUGUAACAAACUUUCUAGAGAAUAAGAUCUGACUUCAGCCAAUCAGCGGGAUGUCCUUGAACAAGAGCCAAUGGCUGAAGGUGCUGAAAUGCAUUCUUUAGACUCGCUCCUCUACUAUUGCUGUAAUCAAGCUGGAUGGCUAUUUUGCUCCUUCUACUGACAAAAUCAAGUCUGCCACCUGGUGGCUGAUGAGGGCGUAGCAACUCGGGUACAUUGGAAACAUGAUAAGAAGAGCCUGUUUUUGAUGGUUGGAUCGUACACCUAAAUGUUUUUACAUCAAAAUAUCGCCGAACCCCAUGUUGGACAAUGCUUGUUUUCAUCCUUUCUAUGUUUAGCUUUGAUUUAUCCUUACCUUUUCUUGUGACCCAUUCCCCUUAGGUUCAAUUAAGUCUACCUCUCCUUCAGGCGACUUAAAGGGAGACCAGAUGUGCGGCAGCUGGCUGUCACGGUGCAGAGACCCAACGCUGGUAAAUAUUUACUUCCUCCUUGAACAGACCUAACGCGUCAAACGGCAAUUAUAUAAUCCCUCCUGAUCUUUAUAAAGGUCUGAAGACCAGUCUUUUCUGUGAACAUCUCCACUGACUAGUGUGCUCUUAAUUAAAUUAAAGUUAAUUAAAUGCAGUAACUCCAAUUCACCUGGAGGCUCGUAUUGAAUUUUUUUUAAACCUGGUUCUCCAGCACUAGGACAGUUGAGGUAAAUAAAUGCUUGUUUUUUCGCUAAUUUGAGUCUAUGAAAUCAAAUGUCGAUUGAGCCCAGAUGGGGCUGUUCCGGCAUUUAUAGACAUUUGAUUGCCCUUGACACUGAUUCUACUUUUUGCAUCAAUUUACUUCACAGUACUGAACUACACCAGUGUGUCCUACUCCCAUAAACCCUGAGGAUCCCUGGAUGGCUACACCAGCACGUUAAUCCACACCCAACAUCAUCACACAGUGCACACUCUAUAGAGCUCGUAAGUCCGCCACUUGCGAUCGUAAGUUAUGACUGGGUUUCAAUGGAGAGAAAGUAAUUAUUUUCUCCAUUUUAUGUUUCACCACAUUUUGGGGGAAUGUUUGAAUCAAUCUUUUUCAUUUAUUUCUGUGCUCCAUAUCUGUAAUCCCAGCUGUUGUAUUUUAACACGGUAGCUGGGAACCCUCUUUAUAGGGAGCGACUAGAGGGACGAGGCUGGAAGCAAACCUGAGCCUGGAUCUUAACCUUCUUUCUAAACCUAAUGCCGCAAUUUAACCGCAAAUAAAGUGAGGCCUAAAGUAACUUGACUCUCUUACCUAAACUUGCUUGCCUAAACUCGCUUGUCUAAACUCGCCUGCAUAAAACCUAAACUCGUUUGCAUAAAACCUGAACUUGCUUGGCUAAACUCGCGUCGCUUGCCUAAUACCUGAACUUGCUUGCCUAAACUCGCUUGCCUAAUACCUAAACUCGCUUGCCUAAACUCGCUUGCCUAAACUCGCUUGCCUAAACUCGCUUGCCUAAACUCGCUUGCCUAAACUCGCUUGCCUAAACUCGCUUGCCUAAACUCGCUUGCCUAGACUCUCUUGCCUAGACUCGCUUGCCUAGACUCGCUUGCCUAAUACCUGUACUCGCUUGCAUAAAACCUGUACUCGCUUGCAUAAAACCUAAACUCGCUUAGCUUGACUCUCUUGCCUGUACUCGCUUGCCUAAUACCUGAAGUCGCAUGCCUAAUACCUGAAGUCGCUUGCCUAAAACCUAAACUUGCUUUUCCAAACACGUUACACAAAGUUAACCAUCCAUAAUCUUUAACCCAAACCAGACUUGUCCCUGGGUCGCUCCACUUUAAUUUAGAAGUUUCUUCUUUUACCUCAUCUGCGUUUUGAGUUGCAUUCUUUGAGGGCUUGAAGUGCUUUGGAGGAUAUUUGAACCUUUGUUUGCCGCAUCAAUAAACAUGCUUUAUCUUUACACAUUGUUUUGGUUUGCAUUUCUAUGUGUAAUCCGACCAAAUGUUCAGUGUCCUUACAUGUAAUGUCUAUGGUCUGACGAUAAUCUGACAUCUUCAUGAAGCAGAAUGUGUGAAUGUUGUCCUGUGAGCUCCAGGCUCUCUGUGGGCGUCAACGUCUCUUUAGCAAAAGGUUGGAGAGUGAAAUUCAUUUUUUUGCCAUUUUCAUGUGUUCCUGAGUAUUUCAGACCUGUGGUGUUUCACAUGAGACCUUAAUGGGAACUUUUCUUUUUCUUCCUGCAUACUAAUGCCUACAUUAGUAGGGUGAUCACUGUUGAUCCCAAUAUUGAUCAUUAACCACCUCAUUCUUUGGGAUUACAAAUCAUGUAAUUUAUGAGCAUAUUUGCAAAUGCCUCCAAAUAUCAGAUUGUGUAAAAACGAAUGAAAUGUAACCUGCUUGAUUUAAAGAAAAUAAAACAUCCAAAUAUUAUAAACAUGU